rnacentral:tRNA from 1 species
GCGCUUGUAGCUCAGAGGAUAGAGCGUUGGUCUCCGGAACCAAAGGUCGUAGGUUCGAAUCCUACCAGGCGCGCCA